CAGUCGACUAGAGUUUGAUCCUGCUCAGGAUGAACGCUGGCGGCGUGCCUAAAUAACAUGCAAAGUCGAGCGGUAAGGCCCUUCGGGGUACACGAGCGGCGGACGGCUGAGUAACACGUAGGAACGUACCCCAGACUGAGGGAUAACUGCCCGAAAGGGUAGCUAAUACCGCAUAACCUCUUAGGAGAAAAGCUCCGGCGGUUUGGGGAACGGCCUGCGUCCGAUUAGCUAGUUGGCGGGGUAAAUGCCCACCAAGGCGACGAUCGGUAGCUGGUCUGAGAGGAUGAUCAGCCAGACUGGGACUGAGAACGGCCCAGACUCCUACGGGAGGCAGCAGUAGGGAAUUUUCCACAAUGGACGAAAGUCUGAUGGAGCAACGCCGCGUGCAGGAUGAAUGCCUUCGGGUUGUAAACUGCUUUUAUGUGUGACGAUUAUGACGGUAGCACAUGAAUAAGGAUCGGCUAACUCCGUGCCAGCAGCCGCGGUAA
rnacentral:rRNA from 1 species